rfam:Operophtera brumata OBRT01_Sc02419, whole genome shotgun sequence.
CAUUCCAUGGCUAAACUGGUCAAGGCAUCGCUUAUUAUAGGCGAAGAUGCUGGUUCGACUCCCGCUGGAACGG